UAUUACUUUGGCAGAAUAAGUGCAAUAAAUUUAGAAUUUAUUUAUGUAAAAAUAUUUACAAGUAAUA
rnacentral:tRNA from 1 species